GCCGGGAUGGCGAAAUUGGCAGACGCAGCGGACUUAAAAUCCGCAGACCAGAAAUGGUUGUGGGGGUUCAAGUCCCCCUCCCGGUACCA
rnacentral:tRNA from 1 species